rnacentral:rRNA from 1 species
AGAGUUUGAUCCUGGCUCAGAAUGAACGCUGCGGCAGCUUACACAUGCAAGUCGAGCGGAGAUGAGGUGCUUGCACUAUCUUAGCGGCGGACGGUGAGUAAUGCUUAGGAAUCUGCCUAUUAGUGGGGGACAACAUUCCGAAAGGAAUGCUAAUACCGCAUACGUCCUACGGGAGAAAGCAGGGGAUCUUCGGACCUUGCGCUAAUAGAUGAGCCUAAGUCGGAUUAGUUAGUUGGUGGGGUAAAGGCCUACCAAGGCGACGAUCUGUAGCGGGUCUGAGAGGAUGAUCCGCCACACUGGGACUGAGACACGGCCCAGACUCCUACGGGAGGCAGCAGUGGGGAAUAUUGGACAAUGGGGGAAACCCUGAUCCAGCCAUGCCGCGUGUGUGAAGAAGGCCUUAUGGUUGUAAAGCACUUUAAGCGAGGAGGAGGCUACUGAGACUAAUACUCUUGGAUAGUGGACGUUACUCGCAGAAUAAGCACCGGCUAACUCUGUGCCAGCAGCCGCGGUAAUACAGAGGGUGCGAGCGUUAAUCGGAUUUACUGGGCGUAAAGCGUGCGUAGGCGGCUUUUUAAGUCGGAUGUGAAAUCCCCGAGCUUAACUUGGGAAUUGCAUUCGAUACUGGGAAGCUAGAGUAUGGGAGAGGAUGGUAGAAUUCCAGGUGUAGCGGUGAAAUGCGUAGAGAUCUGGAGGAAUACCGAUGGCGAAGGCAGCCAUCUGGCCUAAUACUGACGCUGAGGUACGAAAGCAUGGGGAGCAAACAGGAUUAGAUACCCUGGUAGUCCAUGCCGUAAACGAUGUCUACUAGCCGUUGGGGCCUUUGAGGCUUUAGUGGCGCAGCUAACGCGAUAAGUAGACCGCCUGGGGAGUACGGUCGCAAGACUAAAACUCAAAGGAAUUGACGG